AAACGUAGGAGGCUAGCGUUAUCCGGAUUUAUUGGGCGUAAAGCGCGUGCAGGCGGUUUAUCAAGUUGGAUGUGAAAGCUCCCGGCUUAACUGGGAGAGGUCGUUCAAAACUGAUAGACUAGAGAAUGGUAGAGGGAGGUGGAAUUCCGGGUGUAGUGGUGAAAUGCGUAGAUAUCCGGAGGAACACCAGUGGCGAAAGCGGCCUCCUGGGCCAUUUCUGACGCUAAGACGCGAAAGCUAGGGUAGCAAACGGGAUUAGAGACCCCGGUAGUCCUAGCCGUAAACGAUGUGGACUUGGCGUUGGCGGAGUUAAAUCUGCCAGUGCCGUAGCUAACGCGAUAAGUCCACCGCCUGGGGACUACGACCGCAAGGUUAAA
rnacentral:rRNA from 1 species